rnacentral:lncRNA from 1 species
AGGGAAUGACCCCUAGGUCGUCUCUCAAGGACCAACUGCGGUUCAGAGUCAAGUCUAACACGAAAAAGGGGGGUUUGAAAAGUGUUUUUGUGAAUAUGAAUAACUAAAUUAAAAUGAAUGGACAUUAAACUCAACUGUGUAAGUCAGAAAACAUCAAGGUAAAAUAAACUGCUAAACCCAACAUUUCAACAAACAAUUAUCUAAACACAAUUAAGACUAUUAAAAUGCAACACUAAAUUAGAGGAAUCAAAUGCAACUAAUCCUAUUAUGCAAAUUAAUGCAAAACAAGANAUAAUUAAACAUGCUUUUUCAUCUAUCAAUUAUGUGACCAAUAUUCAUCUACCAAUUGAAAUUAAAAGGUGCAAAUANCUUGAGAAACCCCCUUGGGCCGUGAGCUCCUAGCCCACCAAGGUCCAAUUUCAAUUUUGACUUUUCUUCCUUAAAUGAACAUGCAA